UGGGGAAUUUUGGACAAUGGGCACAAGCCUGAUCCAGCAAUGCCGCGUGCAGGAUGAAGGCCUUCGGGUUGUAAACUGCUUUUGUACGGAGCGAAAAGGUCUGCCCUAAUACGGUGGGCUCAUGACGGUACCGUAAGAAUAAGCACCGGCUAACUACGUGCCAGCAGCCGCGGUAAUACGUAGGGUGCGAGCGUUAAUCGGAAUUACUGGGCGUAAAGCGUGCGCAGGCGGUUAUAUAAGACAGAUGUGAAAUCCCCGGGCUCAACCUGGGACCUGCAUUUGGGACUGUAUAGCUAGAGUACGGUAGAGGGGGAUGGAAUUCCGCGUGUAGCAGUGAAAUGCGUAGAUAUGCGGAGGAACACCGAUGGCGAAGGCAAUCCCCUGGACCUGUACUGACGCUCAUGCACGAAAGCGUGGGGAGCAAACA
rnacentral:rRNA from 1 species